UAGAAAAAAUUGAAAAGGAACAGAGCAAACAAGCAGUGGAGAUGAAGAAUGAUAAGACCGAAGAGGAGCAGACUACCACCUCCCAAAAGAAAGAUGAGACCAAUGUGAAGAUGGAAUCUGAGGGUGCUGUGGAUGAUUCUGCUGAGGAGGGGGAUCUAUUGGAUGAUGAUGAAAAUGAAGAUCGGGUGGAGGACCAGGUGAAAAUGCUGGAGUUGAUCAAGGAUGAUGAAAAAGAGGCUGAGGAAGGAGAGGAUGAUAGAGACAGCGCCAAUGGCGAGGAUGACUCUUAAGCACAUAGUUUGGUUUAGAAGUCUUGUCCCAUUAUUUCUUUAUCUAGGCACUUGUCUAAGAUCAAAAUUUCACCAGAUCCUCUCCCCUAGUAUCUUCAGCACAUGCUCACUGUUCUCCCUGUGUCCUACCAUGUUCAUAACUGCCCUGCACCUAGUACCAUUUUCACUUCCUCUGAUGCUCCUAGUAGUUUUGUUAAGUCUUCUCCUGUAAUUUUUGCUUUUUAAUUUUGAUACCUCUUUAUGACUUAACAAUAAAAAGGUUGUAUGGUU